rnacentral:lncRNA from 10 species
ACCGUGACCCAGUAAUCCUCCCAACAGAAAGGGGGUUUCCAGCAAACCACCGUGACAGCUCCUCCGGGAAAUGAGCCCCUCUACAGAAAACGUAUGAAAAGCACAAAGAAGCUAAAAUUCCAGUUUUCUCACCAAAGAACCACGAAAAGAAACUCUUGGGAGCUUGUGUACAAGGGAAGUCACGGAGAGAAGAAACGUCCUCUAAAUUUGUGUAUACAAUCUCAAGUUUACCACCAACAUGCCCAUGUGUGAACUGACCCAAGGCGGCAGAGGAAAGGCGCUGAGAACUGCACAAUGGCAUGGAUGGCACACCUGGGACCUGAACAGCAAUACGAAGGUUUUGAAAAAAUUCAAAUACUGAAGACUUGUGUGUGCCACAGACCUAAAUCUCAAGGUGACUAGUCUUCAGAAGACCAGGCUCUACUUCUACUUCUCCAGGCAUCAAAGGGAAAAAAGGAGUUUCUAGGCAACCCAUUCAGAACAAAGAAUACGUACACAAUGAAAUAGAU